rnacentral:rRNA from 1 species
UACGUAGGGUGCGAGCGUUAAUCGGAAUUACUGGGCGUAAAGCGUGCGCAGGCGGUUGUGCAAGACAGAUGUGAAAUCCCCGGGCUCAACCUGGGAAUUGCAUUUGUGACUGCACGGCUAGAGUGUGUCAGAGGGGGGUAGAAUUCCACGUGUAGCAGUGAAAUGCGUAGAGAUGUGGAGGAAUACGAUGGCGAAGGCAGCCCCUGGGCCUGACACUGACGCUCAGGCACGAAAGCGUGGGAGCAAACAGG